GACACAGGUGCUGCAUGGCUGUCGUCAGCUCGUGUCGUGAGAUGUUGGGUUAAGUCCCGCAACGAGCGCAACCCUUGUCUCUAGUUGCUACGAAAGGGCACUCUAGAGAGACUGCCGGUGACAAACCGGAGGAAGGUGGGGAUGACGUCAAGUCCUCAUGGCCCUUAUGGGUAGGGCUUCACACGUCAUACAAUGGUGCAUACAAAGGGUUGCCAAGCCGCGAGGUGGAGCCAAUCCCAAAAAAUGCAUCGUAUUCCGGAUCGUAGUCUGCAACUCGACUACGUGAAGCUGGAAUCGCUA
rnacentral:rRNA from 1 species